rnacentral:lncRNA from 10 species
UUCUCCUACCAAAACUCUUCAUGCCCAGGAAGAUCAGAUGCAAGGUUAUCCGAGCUAACACUAGGAGGUUAGCUCCUAGUGCUGAGAAGGCCAUGGAUGAACACAGAAAUGCCUCUGCUUAGGAACCAUUGCUGAAGGAAACUUCCACACACUAAUGAAGCAAAUGGCCCCGAGAUGGCAAAGCCAUACCAUGAAAAGCGACUGGACCUCUGAGUCACCUCUUUGAGCAGAGAGAGCCAGAAGAUCCUCUUCACUCACACUGAACAGUGGCACGUGGGUGAAAUCACACUGUGCUGAGUUUCUGGAACCUCAGGAAUCUUUGGUACAGCAAAGAUGAUACUUUGAUUAAUACGCCAAACUCCAAGCUUAGAAAAUCUGGAUGUACAGCCUGUGUUCUUAAUUGCAAUGUUAUUUUUUCUCUUCCUUCUUCCUUUUCUGAAUAAUAAUACUUCUAAGAUUGCUGAAUAAAUCCGAUAUUGAUUGAGAUAAUAUAAGUGUGGUAACUAUAAUGCGUUU